rnacentral:rRNA from 1 species
UAGCGAAGGGGGCUAUCGUUGCUCGGAAUCACUGGGCGUAAAGCGCACGUAGGCGGAUCGUUAAGUCAGGGGUGAAAUCCUGGAGCUCAACUCCAGAACUGCCUUUGAAUACUGGCGACCUUGAGUUCGGGGAGAGGUGAGUGGAACUGCGAGUGUAGAGGUGAAAUUCGUAGAUAUUCGCAAGAACACCCAGUGGCGAAGGCGGCUCACUGGCCCGAUACUGACGCUGAGGUGCGAAAGCGUGGGGAGCAACAG